rnacentral:sRNA from 1 species
UUCUGACUCUUUCUUCUACUUUUUUAUUAUUUUAUAU